GACGAACGCUGGCGGCGGGCUUAACACAUGCAAGUCGAACGGAAAGGCACUGCUUUCGUGGGGUGCUCGAGUGGCGAACGGGUGAGUAACAGGUGAGUAACCUGCCCUAGACUUUGGGAUAACUUCAGGUAACGGGGGCUAAUAUCGGAUAGGAGCUCCCGCACCAUGGUGGGGGUGGGAAAGUCUCGGCGGGUGGGGAUGGACUCGCGGCUUAUCAGCUAGCUGGUGGGGUAGUGGCUUACCAAGGCUGUGACGGGUAGCCGGCCUGGGAGGGUGACCGGCCACAUUGGGACUGAGAUACGGCCCAGACUCCUACGGGAGGCAGCAGUGGGGAAUAUUGCACAAUGGGCGGAAGCCGGAUGCAGCAACGCCGCGUUCGGGAUGACGGCCUUCGGGUUGCAAACCGCUUUCGCCUGUGACGAAGCGUGAGUGACGGUAAUGGGUGAAGAAGCACCGGCUAACUACGUG
rnacentral:rRNA from 1 species